rnacentral:rRNA from 1 species
CAGUAGCCGCGGUAACACGUAGGUGGCAAGCGUUGUCCGGAAUUAUUGGGCGUAAAGGGCUCGCAGGCGGUUUCUUAAGUCUGAUGUGAAAGCCCACGGCUCAACCGUGGAGGGUCAUUGGAAACUGUUAAACUUGAGUGCAGGAGAGAAAAGUGGAAUUCCUAGUGUAGCGGUGAAAUGCGUAGAGAUUAGGAGGAACACCAGUGGCGAAGGCGGCUUUUUGGCCUGUAACUGACACUGAGGCGCGAAAGCGUGGGGAGCAAACAGGAUUAGAUACCCGCGUAGUCCUGUCUCUUAUACA